UUUUCUUAAAUGUUAAAAUGUUUUCUUAAAUGUUAAAAUGUUUUCUUAAAUGUUAAAAUGUUUUCUUAAAUGUAAAUUAGUCUCCAGUUAUAUAAAAGUGUUUCCCACUCUGAUAGUAAACACGGCUCACGGGCCCGUGAUCGCCGGCGUGAUCGGAGCCACCAAACCUCAGUACGACAUCUGGGGCGUGACGGUGAACGUGGCGAGCAGGAUGGAGAGCACGGGGGUCAACGGGAGGAUUCAGUAAACACGGCUCACGGGCCCGUGAUCGCCGGCGUGAUCGGAGCCACCAAACCUCAGUACGACAUCUGGGGCGUGACGGUGAACGUGGCGAGCAGGAUGGAGAGCACGGGGGUCAACGGGAGGAUUCAGGUCCCCGAGACCACCAGCUGCAUCCUGAUGGAGCGAGGCUUCCUACGGCAGCUCAGAGGGAACAUUUACAUCAAAGGCAUCAGUGAACGCCACGGGAAGGUGAUGACAUCACACACACACACACACACACACACACACACACACACACACACUGCAACUUUUGUCUUUAGGACGUCGUGCCAACUUUACCUCAACAGCUUCUGAUCCAAUCACCCGAUGAAGAGUAACGUUUAGUGGAGUUUUUAAAAUGUGUCAUUACACGGACUGACCAGCAGGUGGAGCUGUUUCAUCAAAGUGACUGAAACUGAGACCAGCGCUACUUAGGAAGAUUUCUGAAUGAUUUCUAAAGAUGAACCUGCACGUCGUCUGGAUUCAAUAAAACGUUUGAACAUGGAGAAGAAGAAAGUUUGAAAGGAGUUCACCUGGACUCACAAAGGACGUAAAAGAGAGAAGAAGAAGAAGAAGAAGUGACUUUGAGGUUUCCUCCUGUUCAUGUAAACAUCAUCUCAUCUCCUCCACUGGAUAAAAAGAAGGUUUUACUGUAAACCUGAAAACAGGUUGAGAUUUUCCUGCAGUACUUAAACGCAUCACAGCCAUGACUUUUCCCUUUCUAGUUUCCUUUAGUGAAUAAAACACUUCAAUGUUUGUCUGAA